CAGCAGCCGCGGUAAUACGGAGGGUGCGAGCGUUAAUCGGAAUUACUGGGCGUAAAGCGCACGUAGGCGGAUCGAUCAGUCAGGGGUGAAAUCCCAGGGCUCAACCCUGGAACUGCCUUUGAUACUGUCGAUCUGGAGUAUGGAAGAGGUGAGUGGAAUUCCGAGUGUAGAGGUGAAAUGCGUAGAUAUAGGAAGGAACACCAGUGGCGAAGGCGACUACCUGGACUGAUACUGACACUGAGGUGCGAAAGCGUGGGGAGCAAACAGGAUUAGAUACCCGCGUAGUCCCUGUCUCUUAUAC
rnacentral:rRNA from 1 species